GAUGAACGCUGGCGGCGUGCCUCAAACAUGCAAGUCGAGCGAGGCUAUGAAUUACCGCAAGGUAAGGCAUAGCCUAGCGGCGAACGGGUGAGUGACACGUGGGUAACCUACCUGGAAGACAGGGAUAACGAUUCGAAAGGGUCGCUAAUACCUGAUAAUAUCCAUCUGCCGGAUGGCGGAGGGAAGAAAGGGGAAACCCGCUUUCAGAUGGGCCCGCGUCCCAUCAGCUAGUUGGUAAGGUAAAGGCUUACCAAGGCGACGACGGGUAGCCGGUCUGAGAGGAUGUACGGCCACACUGGGACUGAGAUACGGCCCAGACUCCUACGGGAGGCAGCAGUUGGGAAUCUUAGGCAAUGGACGAAAGUCUGACCUAGCGACGCCGCGUGAGGGAAGAAGGCCUUCGGGUUGUAAACCUCUGUCAUGGGGGAAGAAGGAAGUGACGGUACCCCAAGAGGAAGCCCCUGCUAACUACGUG
rnacentral:rRNA from 1 species